GGCUCAGCGCGAACGCUGGCGGCGUGCCUAACACAUGCAAGUCGUGCGGAGGGGUGAUGAGCCCCUCAGCGGCAAACGGGUGAGUAACACGUGAGUAACCUGCCCCUGGGAAGGGGAUAACCCUCCGAAAGGGGGGCUAAUACCCUAUAUUGCCGGGGACCACUAAGGUCACCCGGUGAAAGGUGGCCUCUGCCCUUCAUGGGUAUGCUACCGCCCAGGGAGGGGCUCGCGGCCCAUCAGGUAGUUGGUGGGGUAACGGCCUACCAAGCCUAUGACGGGUAGCCGGCCUGAGAGGGUGGCCGGCCACAGUGGGACUGAGACACGGCCCACACCCCUACGGGGGGCAGCAGUGGGGAAUCGUGGGCAAUGGGCGAAAGCCUGACCCCGCGACGCCGCGUGGGGGAUGAAGCCCUUCGGGGUGUAAACCCCUGUCGGGGGGGACGAUGUGUCCUGGGGUGAAUAAUCCCAGGGCAUGACGGUACCCCCAGAGGAAGGGACGGCUAACUACGUGCCAGCAGCCGCGGUAAUACGUAGG
rnacentral:rRNA from 1 species